rnacentral:rRNA from 1 species
AGGGCACCACCAGGAGUGGAGCCUGCGGCUUAAUUUGACUCAACACGGGAAAACUCACCCGGCCCGGACACUGGAAGGAUUGACAGAUUGAGAGCUCUUUCUUGAUUCAGUGGGUGGUGGUGCAUGGCCGUUCUUAGUUGGUGGAGUGAUUUGUCUGGUUAAUUCCGAUAACGAACGAGACCUUAUCCUACUAAAUAUGUGGUCAAGUUUACAAACACUUGAUCUCACUUCUUAGAGGGACAGGCGGUGAUUCAACCGCACGAAACAAGGCAAUAACAGGUCUGUGAUGCCCUUAGAUGUCCGGGGCCGCACGCGCGCUACACUGAAGUGAUCAGCGUGCUUUGCUAUGCCUACUCUGACAAGAGUGGGAAACCCCAUGAACCUUCUUCGUGAUUGGGAUAGGAGAUUGUAAUUAUUCUCCUUGAACGAGGAAUUCCCAGUAAGCGCGAGUCAUAAGCUCGCGUUGGUUACGUCCCUGCCCUUUGUACACACCGCCCGUCGCUACUACCGAUUGAAUGU